AGCAGCCGCGGUAAUUCCAGCUCCAAUAGCGUAUAUUAAAGUUGUUGCAGUUAAAAAGCUCGUAGUUGAAUUUCGGGAUCAGUACGCUGGUCAUGCCUUUGGUAUGCACUGGUGUCACUGGUUUCUCCCUUCUGAAGAACCGUGAUGUCAUUAAUUUGGUGUCGCGGGGAAUCAGGACUGUUACUUUGAAAAAAUUAGAGUGUUUAAAGCAGGCUCACGCUUGAAUACAUUAGCAUGGAAUAAUGAAAUAGGACGUUUGACCCUAUUUUGUUGGUUUCUAGGAUCGACGUAAUGAUUAAUAGGGAUAGUUGGGGGCAUUAGUAUUCAAUUGUCAGAGGUGAAAUUCUUGGAUUUAUUGAAGACUAACUACUGCGAAAGCAUUUGCCAAGGAUGUUUUCAUUAAUCAAGAACGAAAGUUAGGGGAUCGAAGACGAUCAGAUACCGUCGUAGUCUUAACCAUAAACUAUGCCGACUAGGGAUCGGAUGAUGUUAAUUUUAUAAUGACUCAUUCGGCGCCUUACG
rnacentral:rRNA from 1 species